rnacentral:lncRNA from 1 species
UCCAGGCGGAACCGGCGGGAGCCCAGAAGAACCUCGGGAGAGGCGAGGGCCCCCGCGGGAGACGGCGGAGAGCGCGCCCGGGGCGGGGCCGGGUUCGGGCUUAGGAACAAAGAGGCGGAAGAGACGAGGCCACCCACCUGAGGUGACAGAGUGAACCAGCUGUAUUCUCUUUGGAUUGAGGUCUUUAUGAUUCUUGGACAAAAGGCAGAGAUCAGUCCAUAUUGCAUGCCCCAGGAAGAAAUUGUCAGACAUUCAGCUGUUCAACAUAUUCUGACAACAGAUGCAUAGUGCUGAUUAUGGAGGAAUCCCAUGCCCUCCACCACCACCACCCCACAAUUAAAUGCCCUUUUAAAUAUCCUCCUGCCUUUUGCUGCAGGAAUCAUUUAUCUUGACCCAGCACUUGUUUAGU